UACGUAGGGUGCGAGCGUUAAUCGGAAUUACUGGGCGUAAAGCGUGCGCAGGCGGUGAUGUAAGACAGAUGUGAAAUCCCCGGGCUUAACCUGGGAACUGCAUUUGUGACUGCAUCGCUGGAGUGCGGCAGAGGGGAAUGGAAUUCCGCGUGUAGCAGUGAAAUGCGUAGAGAUGUGGAGGAAUACCGAUGGCGAAGGCAGCCUCCUGGGCCAACACUGACGCUCAUGCACGAAAGCGUGGGGAGCAAACAGG
rnacentral:rRNA from 1 species